rnacentral:lncRNA from 1 species
CUGCAAAAAACUUAUCCUGAAAUUAAAAUACACUCUCCUUUGUGUUGGAGUAAGUGUCAUAUACAUAAAAAACUAUAACAUGAACACAUGAAAAUCUAUGAAGCUUAAUGAUCAGAAAUAAUAUCAUUCAAGAUAAAAAUUUAGCUAUAAUCUUCCUUCAGAACUAAAAGAAGCAUAGCACAUAAAUAAGAGUAAACAUUCCACAAUGAUGGAAUGAUGAAAAAACUAAAACCCCAUGAAAUAAGAUAAAUCAUCAAGCUCCAGAACUGAGCCAAAUAGCUUCAUCCACAACUUAUAAUUAUAAAAACUGAAACUGACCUCAGCAACAGGAGUGAACCAUCUAAGACGGAACCUCGGAUUAGGAGAUUCAGCAUCAGUAAGGCGAGUCAAGUAACAGGUCUCGGAGAUAUUGAACUCAGAAGCCACAGCUUGUAGCCAUUCUUCAUCUCUAUCUUCCUCUAACAAACAAACCGCUGCUGGGUUCCCCUUGAAAGCUGAGUCGGUAAAAGCAUCCACCUGUCAAAGCAACAAAAAGAACCCAGUCCCAUUCAACCACAACGGAACAUCAAUCUAUAAAUACAAAAGAGGAGAUUACUAUUAGUUACCACAGAAUAUUGUACGAGCUUCUUGGCCAUGUUGCAGAAUAAAGAAUGAAGUUUAGAGUUUGACACGUGAAACUUGGAGUUGCAAAAGGUGAAGAGCUGAAACCCGAAACUGAGAUGAAAGAAAUGGUCAACACCUAACAGCCGCCAACCUACUGUCUUUUUCUUUAUAUUUUUUUUCCUUUUUUUCCACGGUUCUUCCCCUCUCGGACGCUUGCCACAUUCGAUUGGACUGUGCAUGAUACAAUAAGAUUUGUUUUUCUUAUAAUUAUCUUGUAUUCUGCCUACUACAACCAACUGAUUAACUUAAUUUAUAAGAAAAGAAAUUUCUUAAAUUACAUUUAUUGUAAAGAGCAGAAUCAAGUGAGGCAACGGAUAAAUUUUAUUUGACAGUGAAUUAUAUUAAAUAUAAUUUAGAGAGAUUCAUAAGAAAAUGAGCCCCAAUAUGAUUAACGAACUUGCACAAAUUAUAUGGAUUCUUUUCUCUGAAAAAUGUCUUUGUUCUGAAAAACAUCAGAUCAAAAGAAACCAUAGCGAAAAUACACGAACAAAAACACCUCAAAUAUCUUCAGCAGAACAAGUAGUGAUCAACAAAAUACAGUCCAAUGAAAUUGGCUUACUGUUUAUUGUAUUACAAUGAAGUGAUUUUAUCAUAUAACAUUGGAUAUCAGAUACCACCAAAUUGGAUGGUACAAAUGUAAAUUUUAUCUUAAAGAUGUCUUGUACAAGGUAUCGAAACAUGAUCAAGAAACACUCCAGGGAAUCAUUAUUUGCACGUAAUGAUUGACAUUUAUUGGAGUUGAUCACACACGCAUAAUGGAAAUCACUUGAAAUCUAAACUAACAGAGAGCCUUCCAUCACAGUAAUAGCUUUUCCUCGCAGCUGCACUCUCUGAUUCUGCUUGUCUACAUGAAUGUUCAAGAUCCCACUUCUUGGUGAUGCCUGAGUCAGGUAAAAUGUAAUCAACAUAUAACAAUUAGAAGGAAUAUGAAUAGACAUAAAUUAGAGAGAAAUGGGUGCAAAGAGAGUACCGCAUAAGCCACAAAAUCACACUUUCCAAGCUUUUGACUCCAAUAGGUUGCCAAAGCACAAUGUGCACUCCCACAAACGGGAUCCUGAUAUAAACAAGUCAUGUACAUAUAAGACUGUUAUUAGAACUGUUUCAAUAUUGACAGAGUUUUUGAAAAUUAUUUCCAUCUUACUUAUUGGAUCCUAAACUACAGUACCAUACAUUAAAGAAAGUUCUUUGUUCUCUUACAUAGACACAUUACUUCAAAUGCCAAAAAUCCUUCUUGAAAUCAAAACAGAGCAAUCUACACUAGACUUUAGAGGCAAUAUAUGUUUCGAAGUUAGCAAAUGGGUGAAAAGCUAGUAGGAAAGGAGCAAUAAUUUUGUUCACUUUCAGCUGUAACAUUUCACUCAAUUUGCAGGCCUUAUUACUCAUCAGAUUUUCUAAAACAGAAACGAUAUUCAAUGCACAUCUCCAUGUAGCAUGAGUUAUGACAAAUGUACAUGCUCAUAAUACAGUAGUAUAUAAACUCAUUCAUUAAAACCAACGAGUUAUUACCUCAUUGAUGCCAAAUUUAGGGCAGAAGAAUCGGCUAUAAAAAUCAAAUCCAGACUCUGGAGGAGCAAGCCCUGAAACAAUUAUGCCGCUUCCAGGACAUUUUCGUAUUUGAUCAAACUGUGGCUCCACGUCUGUAACAGAUUUCGCCGAUGGGAGCACGACCUGCAUAUUGUAGCCAACUUCAUUCAGAACAACUACUAACACUAUAUCCAAAUGAGUAAAGGGUUAAAAGAAAUUACAAAGAUAUCUUCUGAGGUAGUUGUUAUCUUCAUAUCCAUGACUGAAGAAACACUCAAAGCCUUAUGAAUUAAUGAAACCUCAGAAAAAUUGAAAUCAGUAGUUGGAACUGUAGGAAAAUCCAAUUCAAUAAAAUAGCACUCUCGUGCUUCGCCUUUCUGUGAAUUAGAGUCAUUCAUCGCCUUAACAUCUGGAACUUUUUUGGCUGUUAGAAUUCCAGACAGUGUGGCAAAUUCAAUUAUGUUGGAGUUUACCAAACCUCUCGAAAAAAGAGUGUGUGCAGCUGCUAAUGUUGCAUGACCACAAAGUUCAACCUGCAAAAAACUUAUCCUGAAAUUAAAAUACACUCUCCUUUGUGUUGGAGUAAGUGUCAUAUACAUAAAAAACUAUAACAUGAACACAUGAAAAUCUAUGAAGCUUAAUGAUCAGAAAUAAUAUCAUUCAAGAUAAAAAUUUAGCUAUAAUCUUCCUUCAGAACUAAAAGAAGCAUAGCACAUAAAUAAGAGUAAACAUUCCACAAUGAUGGAAUGAUGAAAAAACUAAAACCCCAUGAAAUAAGAUAAAUCAUCAAGCUCCAGAACUGAGCCAAAUAGCUUCAUCCACAACUUAUAAUUAUAAAAACUGAAACUGACCUCAGCAACAGGAGUGAACCAUCUAAGACGGAACCUCGGAUUAGGAGAUUCAGCAUCAGUAAGGCGAGUCAAGUAACAGGUCUCGGAGAUAUUGAACUCAGAAGCCACAGCUUGUAGCCAUUCUUCAUCUCUAUCUUCCUCUAACAAACAAACCGCUGCCGGGUUCCCCUUGAAAGCCGAGUCGGUAAAAGCAUCCACCUGUCAAAGCAACAAAAAGAACCCAGUCCCAUUCAACCACAACGGAACAUCAAUCUAUAUACAAAAGAGGAGAUUACUAUUAGUU